AAAAAGAGCUUAUUUAUAAAACGAGUAUAUUACAAUACUACAUAGAAAAGAAUUUGAGGCAAUGAUCUCAAAUUCUCAACUUUAUUGCUGAUAUUAUUUUGUGUAAACUACAUACAGAGAGAUGAAAUUUUUAUUCAAAAUUUCAAUAUGAAAGUACGAAUCUCCAUUGGGCCCAACUCCACAACAAGAGCUGAUUGGUCAACAGGGCCACCUCUAACUGGGGUGGCUUCUGUUUUGCCAUCUCCCUCAACUUUCCAUGCCUUCUUUUUCAUCUCUGAUUUCAACUGAUUUGCUGACAAACUCAUCUCCUUCAAUUCUUUUAUCCUUUUCUUGAGGAACAUUCUCUUCAGUUCCACUUUAGCCAAUUUUGAAUAUUCAGGAUCUUCUUCGGCCUCGUAUAGAUGUGCCAACCGGACUAAUACACUUCCAUCAUUCAACUCCUGAAGAGUAAUCAAGGCAACAUUGAGAGGCAAGCUGUAAGAUGGAUCCAUUGUUGUUGAUUUGGUCACCUUAGAUGCAAUCCAGCUCUCCCUUUUCUCGUGUGCAAAAGCUAAGAGAAGCGGAGAGUAAAUUUCUUGGCCUGUUUUCCGGCGCCAACGAGCUCCAGAACCCAGUUGGUUGAUGUUCACAUAGUAAUUUCCUCUCACCGUUAAUCCUUGACAUUUGUCAUUGACGCACACUAUUUCAU
rnacentral:misc_RNA from 1 species